ACCAAUUCUGGGGGAUUUUCAGUUCUUCUCGGUAUAAUGGCUCAGACGCAAUAUUGAAAGUGGUUAUAUCCUGAUUGAUGGACUUGUAAUCAGUGCCAUAUUAUCCUGGAAACGCUACUUAAAUUU
rfam:Solanum lycopersicum cultivar Heinz 1706 chromosome 7, whole genome shotgun sequence.